UACGGAGGAUCCAAGCGUUAUCCGGAAUCAUUGGGUUUAAAGGGUCCGUAGGCGGCCUUAUAAGUCAGUGGUGAAAUCUCCUAGCUCAACUAGGAAACUGCCAUUGAUACUGUAGGGCUUGAAUGUUUGUGAAGUAACUAGAAUAUGUAGUGUAGCGGUGAAAUGCUUAGAUAUUACAUGGAAUACCAAUUGCGAAGGCAGGUUACUAACAGAUUAUUGACGCUGAUGGACGAAAGCGUGGGGAGCGAACAGG
rnacentral:rRNA from 1 species